AUGAAAUACCACUUUCCGUCACAGAAAAGGUCACGUGAACCAAUCAGAAGCCGCCGCGGACCAAGCACCUGCUCCUGCACCUGUCCACCAUUUUAUGACGUAACUGACAGGCCACCCGUCUGUGCAUGUGGGCGUGAGAAGUGCGCAUGGACUUCCAAUCAGUGGAAGCUACGGACGGCCCGGUGCUCUACGCUUGGAGGCAGCCAUCUGUCAGCUGACGCUUGGUCGCCACAGCAAUCAGAACGCUCUGCGGCGGGUCCAAUCUGUUCCACCACAGGUAGAGCUGUGGGAGGGCGGCCAUCACUCCAUACUUUCUCUCUUUUUACUUCUCUUCAAUCCUUGUCUAACACCAUCACUUACUCCUCGCCAUCUUAUGCGUGCCUCUUUUUUUGUUGUUGACACUGUUGAAACCACAAACCCAAAAUACAGUUGAUGGAAACUUAGAUGACAGUCUUCUGCUUGCAACAUUGGUUGCUAUGAAACAAACAUGUCUUACAUGUCCUCAAAAUAUUGACACUAUAAAAGAUCUUAAUUAACAGACCAAAAGUCGAAAUAAGGUUCAAAUUAAUAAAUAAUUAAAGUCGUUGGGGGGUGAAAUGUGAGGGUGAAAUCAAAUGAGCACCGAUGUCCUGAGCCACCUGCCCUGCUUCCCUUUCCUGGCACGUGCAGUACCACUUGUGUCAUAAUGAUGACAGUGUGCUAAAUGUAGUGCAUCAGUGGUCAGUCCAGCCUGCUAAAUGUGCCAUGCUAUACCCAAAGCCUUGCCAGGCAAGACUCUCCCUCUUCAUGGCCCUCCGUUGGCAAAAGGCCCAACUUUUAAUCUGAUCAGAGCCAUGCUAAUGGCAGAAGGCAGCCCUCCUAACCAGACUGCUAGCCAGGCCAAGACGCCUGUAGCAGUAGAUGUGACAUCCUGAGCUCCACACUCCAGAUGAAUUAUUGAACGGUGACGCAGAACAGAUCUUUUGGAGACUGGUUUGGCUCGGCUGUUUCGUACGGCGCUGCGCCAGAUGUGAAAAUCUGUUCUCCGUCCCAAUUGCAGCCGAGUCGCAACAAAGCAAAACAUGGUAGAAGCUGUGGAAGGUGACUUGUAUCUGUUAUUUUUCCUUUUACCAUGAGCAAAUUAUAUUCAAGCCGUAGUGGUGUGACAUUGAGUAUAGUUGCAGCAAAAGAUGAGUCCACAAUAAUCAAUGGGAAAUUCUGAUUGGUUCCUUCAGUUCUAUGACUUUGGACUUAUAAAUCCUUGAGCUGUUCGUUUGCCCACAUCCUUAUGCCACACUCACAGCUUGGCACUUUGAUUUGAACCAAUCUGUAUGUCAUAUGUGCCAGAAUCAGCCACGUCCAAUUAUAAGACAGCAAUCAUCUACAUAACAUUAUGUCCAUCAAACCUUUUUUUUGGAUCGAGCUUUCAGUUUUUGAAACCUGUUCUUUUCACUUUGCUGGAGCUUUGCUAAACCAAAGUGAGCGGAAGGGACUGGCAGAGCAAGAUCACUAAAAUUCAAUUACAUCUGCUGCUACUCACUGAAUGUGGGUUGGAAAAUUAAAAUUGGACAAUAUGUGGAUUUUUGCAGCAUUUACAUGAAAAUACCACACAUAAGUUUGGUAUCCAUAGUUAUGCCUGGACUCCCACUGAAAUAUGUUUUUCAGCAUCUGUUCAAGUUAAAUUCUGCCAAAACUGUGAAGACAAGGAGUAUAUUUGCUCGGCAUUGUGAGCCAAACCACUGUUGUUCAAAACCCAACCACAACAGUUGGGCUAUGAACACUGGGACAUAAAUACCAGCCUCCUCUCCGAAAGCUUGUUAGAAGUUGGAAAUUCCUUUUUUUUCUCUUUUCUUUGGAAUAGUUGUUGGCAGGUAUUCCCAGCCUCAACAUUCAUUCCUAUUUUUUCAUUACACCAGAUAUGUUUAUGAAUUUGCCUGCAAAAUAUUUGAAGAGAAUGUGAAUGGGAGGACAUUUUAAAAGGACACGCUGCAGACAAAUUAGUUCCUGCAGUUCAAAUCAAUUGUGCUGUUGCCACCACAUUACCAGUAACCUUUCUGGAUUUAAUUAAGCUUGUAUGAUUAGAGAGCAAUCUAUAAGAAUCACACUUGGUAAUCACUGCAUGGAGGGCUCGUUACACUCAAAAAACUGUUCUUGUUCACUGAUUGAGGUUUACACACACUUCACCACACACAACAAUGUCUUGCUAUUGGCCCUUGUGUAAUUACAGUAACUACCCCUGCAACUGAUGAAUAUUUUCCCUGGACAAUACAGCAAAAGCAAGUCUUGUCAAACAGGGGUAACUUGUAUUGUCCAUCAGAACGUGUUGAGACUCAGCAGGCAUCUGUGAUUCAGUUUUUUUUCUCACCAUUAUCAGUUUGAAGUGUUGUGCUUUAGAAAAAGUUGCACUCAGGUUUCUGAUCUCUUUUUCUUGGGAAAAUGGAGAAAUUUGCAUUACAGGAAUUUAAAAAAUCUUCUGAUCACUUAACUCAUUUGACACGUCAGUUUGUUUUCACACGUCUCAACUGGUAUGUUGCCAGACAACUCGUGCGUGAUGGAAACAAGCUCUGUGUUUCAGAGUGAUCAUUACAGAAUCUAAUACAUCAUAACAUAAAUACAUGCUUCACACCUCGCUCUGACAUUGUGGAAAAGUGCCCGUGGCAGAUUUCCAGCUGAUGAUAGAUGAACGUUGCUCUUACAGGAUGUAAAGGAAAGACGGUAGAAAAAGAUAAGUGGGUGGAUAGGCAGGUUUGUACGUACACCCCUUUUGGUUUUUUUGAUGUAGAAAAGCCUGUCUAGUUACUAAUGGCUCACCUGUCGAAAAGAUGACACUGAUCCCCUGUUAAGCUGGUCGAGUAAUUGAAAUUAAAUUAAAUUUAAAACACAGCUCUCUGUCUUAAAUUAGGCACGUGUAUUGUCCAUCAUAGAUCACAUUGUACACAUUUCGCCACUAUCAAACACUAAUAAUCUGAAGCCAAUAGACCAAUACAAGAAAGAGUUGGCCAGUCCCUUAACAUGAUGAUCAUGUGUGAAAAGCAUCAUAAGAAAUAUGAUUUACAAACAGUAAUUGGGUGCUGUUAUGCUUAUCAUCCGUAAGUCUUAGGACAUUUAUCAGUGCAAUACUUUGGACACUUUUUACUUGAAAGCAUAGACCCUAACCCUAAAAAUACACCUAAUCAACAUGUCCGCAAAGUGAAUCCAAUGCAGGAUUGCUUGAGACCUGUAUUCUCUCGGAUGACCAGCAGAGGGCGACUCCACUGGUUACAAUAAGGAGACAGCCUUCUUUCAUAGAGAAAAUGACACUACUUCUUCUGAGGAGUAAAUGGAAUCAAUCCCUAUUUUCAUGUCUUUUUCAAAUUAAGAAUGAUGCUCGUUUUGUUAAUUAUUUAAAGGAAAAAAAGGUGAUAAAGCACAGUAUGCAAUGGGAGGUGGAUACCGCGUGAUUGGUAACUAACGACGAGCCCUCCUCCAAAUAUGGUUACUUGUGGUUUUAAAAACAAGAUGGCGUGGACCAAAAUGCUAAACUCAAGGCUUCAAAACCAAUGGGUGAUGUCACGGUGGUUUGCCACUUGCAAAAGUUCUUGUUUAGCUGUUUUGUGUAGUCAAGACCUGAAAACUGCCACCUGCUGAUAUCACCUAUCAUAUCACUGCCAGAGAUGUUCUUUC
rnacentral:lncRNA from 1 species